rnacentral:tRNA from 2 species
UAUUUUAAUAGCUUAUUAGAGCAUAAUAUUGAAGAUAUUAAGGAGGUUUUUACCUUAAAGUAU